rnacentral:rRNA from 1 species
GCUUGGAAGCAGCCAUUCAUUUAAAGAGUGCGUAACAGCUCACUAGUCGAGGAGUCGGGCGUGGAUAAUAAUCGGGUAUCAAGUUGUCUACCGAAGCAGUGGGAUCAUUGAUAUGAUCGGUAGGGGAGCAUUCCAGUCAGCGUCGAAGGCGUACCGUGAGGUAUUCUGGAGCGUCUGGAAAAGCAAAUGUAGGUAUAAGUAACGAUAAAGGGGGCGGGAAACCCCCUCGCCGAAAGACUAAGGUUUCCUGAUCAACGCUAAUCGGAUCAGGGUCAGUCGGGUCCUAAGGCUCAGCCGAACGGCGAUGCCGAUGGCAGAAACGGUUAAUAUUCCGUUACUACCUUCAGGAGUGACGUGGAGACGCAGUAGUGACAGUGCCGCCAUCUGACGGAAUAGAUGGUUGAAGGGUGUAGGAGUCGAUCAUGGCAGGCAAAUCCACCAUGAGAUCCGAACCUGAUAGUAUGCCGCGUCCUUCGGGACAAGGCAAUAGUGCGCGUAAGCAUGCUGCCGAGAAAAUCCGCUAAACUUAAUCCUGCAGGUACCCGUACCGCAAACGGACACACGUAGUCGGGAUGAAUAUUCUAAGGCGCUUGAGUGAUUCACGGUUAAGGAACUAGGCAAACUGACCCUGUAACUUCGGGAUAAAGGGUCCCUACCCUUUUAUGGGAGGGCGCAGAGAAUCGGUCCAGGCAACUGUUUAACAAAAACACAGGGCUGUGCCAAAUCGAAAGAUCCAGUAUACAGCCUGACACCUGCCCGGUGCUGGAAGGUUAAGAGGAGAUGUCAUCGAUAAGAGAAGCGUUGAAUUGAAGCCCCAGUAAACGGCGGCCGUAACUAUAACGGUCCUAAGGUAGCGAAAUUCCUUGUCGGGUAAGUUCCGACCUGCACGAAUGGUGUAAUGAUCUGGACGCUGUCUCAACCGUGAGCUCAGUGAAAUUGUAGUAUCGGUGAAGAUGCCGAUUACCCGCGAUGGGACGAAAAGACCCCGUGAACCUUUACUAUAGCUUAUCAUUGAAUCUGGGCACGUGAUGUGUAGGAUAGGUCGGAGGCUUUGAAGCAGGUACGCCAGUAUUUGUGGAGCCGCUGUUGAAAUACGACCCUUUAUUUGUUUGGAUUCUAACCCGUGGAUACGGGGACAUUGAUUGGUGGGUAGUUUGACUGGGGUGGUCGCCUCCAAAAGCGUAACGGAGGCUUCUAAAGGUGCCCUCCGGCCGAUUGGUAACCGGCCUUAGAGUGUAAUGGCAUAAGGGCGCUUGACUGGGAGACUAACAAGUCGAUCAGGUAGGAAACUAGAGCAUAGUGAUCCGGUGUUUCCGUAUGGAAGGGACAUCGCUCAAAGGAUAAAAGGUACUCCGGGGAUAACAGGCUGAUC